rnacentral:rRNA from 1 species
GAUGAACGCUGGCGGCGUGCUUAACACAUGCAAGUCGAACGGAAAGGCUCCUGCUUGCAGGGGUACUCGAGUGGCGAACGGGUGAGUAACACGUGGGUGAUCUGCCCUGCACUUCGGGAUAAGCCUGGGAAACUGGGUCUAAUACCGGAUAGGACAAUGGUUUGGAUGCCAUUGUGGAAAGUUUUUUCGGUGUGGGAUGAGCUCGCGGCCUAUCAGCUUGUUGGUGGGGUAAUGGCCUACCAAGGCGUCGACGGGUAGCCGGCCUGAGAGGGUGUACGGCCACAUUGGGACUGAGAUACGGCCCAGACUCCUACGGGAGGCAGCAGUGGGGAAUAUUGCACAAUGGGCGCAAGCCUGAUGCAGCGACGCCGCGUGGGGGAUGACGGCCUUCGGGUUGUAAACUCCUUUCGCUAGGGACGAAGCGCAAGUGACGGUACCUGGAGAAGAAGCACCGGCUAACUACGUG